rnacentral:misc_RNA from 1 species
GAUGAAGAACGUAGCGAAAUGCGAUAAGUAUUGUGAAUUGCAGAAUCCAGUGAAUCAUCGAGUCUUUGAACGCACAUUGCGCCCCCUGGUAUUCCGGGGGGCAUGCCUGUCCGAGCGUCAUUGCUGCCCUCAAGCACGGCUUGUGUGUUGGGCCUCCGUCCUCCUCCCGGGGGACGGGCCCGAAAGGCAGCGGCGGCACCGCGUCCGGUCCUCGAGCGUAUGGGGCUUCGUCACCCGCUCUUGUAGGCCCGGCCGGCGCUUGCCGACACAUCAAUCUUUUUUCCAGGUUGACCUCGGAUCAGGUAGGGAUACCCGCUGAACUUAAGCAUAUCAAUAAGCGGAGGA